CUAAUUUUUACCUGCCACAGUUUGGCAAAUGUUAAUCUUAACAGCUUAUAUUUCCAAACAAUUUGUUCUUUUUUCUCAAAGUUGGGGUAUUCAACACCUCACAGGUAUCCCGUACAAUCCAUAAGGACAAGCUAUUGUGGAGCGCAGUAAUCAAACAUUAAAAGUGUUUCUUUUAAAACAGAAAGGGGGAGACAGCUCCUGCAUCGACGAUUGGCAAUAGCUGUAUAUACCAUAAAUAAUUUGAUCUUUACUUCCAAUAAUAUAUCCAGAGCUGAAAAUUUUUUCUCUGCAUUUUCUUAUGAAAGAAAUUCAGGUACCACCGCUCCUGUACUCCCUGCCACACACAAAAGUUUGUCAUGUGGAAAGAUGAUAAUCAAACUUGGCAAGGACCCCACCCAGUGGUCCUGCCAGGCCAAGGUUUUGUUUGUGUCUCCACAGGUAAAGACAGAGUAUGGCUCCCUUCCCGCUGAGUUUGAGAAAUUGACCAUAAAGAGAAGGACAAGGAGAGGACGCAGGAAGCCCUGGCAAGGAGAAUCGACAAUGUCUCCAUAAGAUACUGACUCUGCUGCUUCUAUUUCAGAAUUUAAGUACAGCUAUCAGAAUAAAGAAAUGGGCUUUUUGGGAAUAACCACCUUGGAUAGAGUAUGUCGGCAUGGGACACACUUUACCAGAAGUCAUCUUAUAUACAAAAAACAACUCUGGCAUUCCAGGCAUUUAUCAUUUUGAAGGACUGUAUAGGGACAGCAAUCAGGCCAAUCAUUUGUUUGUGUCUUUCAAUUGGACUGGACUAGCUGAGACACCCCCAGCAUGCCUCACACAAGACCAUCCUGAAUGCCUGCCCCUCAGAUCUCUGCAGGCGCAUUAUUAUGGUCAUCCUGACCUGUCAGACUCUUUCUGGAUAGGACCUUAUCACAUAGACAAAAAGGAUUCAGCUUGCCUUUGUGGGUGACGCCCCCAGAGCUAAUUGGUUACAUUCUGCUAAUUUCACACAGAUUUUGACUGAUUAUGGAAAGACAGCCCUGGCAUUGGAUAAAGUAAAUAUGUCUCAUUAUGUUAAUGUUACUAAUAAUGGGAAAGUCCAAAAACCAGUAAAUAGAAGUGUUACAUUAGACAUUCAAGCUUGCCUAACUGGAAUAUGCUUUUAUAACUACAGUAAAAGAUCAUCCUGAAGCUUUGAACAUUACUGAAAUAACACACAAAGGAGUUAGAUAUUGGAAUGUAACCUGCAGCAAUUGUAGGGUCAGUCAUUGUGUAGGAUCACAAGGGAAUGGGCUGGUCUUAAUCAUCAAGCUACCACACAUGGCCAUAUGGUAGUCCAGGGGAUCAAAUUCUUCAUGUAUUACAACAAAAAAUAACACAACGACGUAAACAAUGUAUUACUUGUAUUGCAUUAGGCAUAGUAGCAUUAGUUUCUGCAUUGGCUUCUACUAUAAUAGGUUCUGUAUCUUUGGCACAAUCAGUUUCUAACUUACAUACUCUUGAACAUGAUGUCAAUUAUUUGAAAGCAUUGGCUGCUAAUAUAACCUCAGCAUUAGAAAGACAAAAAGAAAUUGAUAUAAGUUUUUACAAAAGUAUUAUGAUGUUAUAGAAAAAUAUGAUUGACCUAAUGAAUGAAGUAGAAUAUUUGUCAUUGAAAACACGCAUGAAAAGUGAUUAUAGAUAUACUGCAUUUUGCUUGCUACCCAUAACAGUAAAUAAUGACACAGAAACAUUGGAAAAAAAUUAAAUUACAAUUACAGGGAUUAUGGGACCAUGAAAACAUCACCAAAAUAUUAACAAUCUCAGUAUAUUAAUUCAGAAUAGUGAUUCAUCCUUACAAGAGCACUUUGAACUGCAUAUUGCAGA
ensembl:lncRNA